rnacentral:rRNA from 1 species
AAUUUUGGACAAUGGGGGAAACCCUGAUCUAGUCAGCCCGCGUGUAUGAUGAAGGCCUUCGGGUUGUAAAGUACGUUUGGCAGAGAAGAAAAGGUAGCUACUAAUACGAGAUACUGCUGACGGUAGCUGCAGAAGAAGCACCGGCAAACUACGUGCCAGCAGCCGCGGUAAUACGUAGGGUGCAAGCGUUAAUCGGAAUUACUGGGCGUAAAGCGUGUGUAGGCGGUUCGGAAAGAAAGGUGUGAAAUCCCAGGGCUCAACCUUGGAACUGCAUUUUUAACUGCCGAGCUAGAGUAUGUCAGAGGGGGGUAGAAUUCCACGUGUAGCAGUGAGAUGCGUAGAUAUGUGGAGGAAUACCGAUGGCGAAGGCAGCCCCCUGGGAUAAUACUGACGCUCAGACACGAAAGCGUGGGGAGCAAACAG